rnacentral:rRNA from 1 species
UACAGAGGGGGCAAACGUUGCUCGGAAUUACUGGGCGUAAAGGGCGCGUAGGCGGUCUUUCAAGUCCGGUGUGAAAUCCCUCGGCUCAACUGAGGAACUGCACAGGAAACUGCUUGGCUUGAGUUCGGGAGAGGGAAGCGGAAUUCCGGGUGUAGCGGUGAAAUGCGUAGAUAUCCGGAGGAACACCGGUGGGGAAGGCGGCUUCCUGGACCGACACUGACGCUGAGGCGCGAAAGCUAGGGGAGCAAACGGG